UACGGAGGGUGCAAGCGUUAAUCGGAAUUACUGGGCGUAAAGCGCACGCAGGUGGCUGAGUCAGUCGAUUGUGAAAGCCCUGGGCUUAACCUGGGAAUUGCAGUCGAUACUACUCAGCUAGAGUAUGGGAGAGGGCAGUGGAAUUCCCGGUGUAGCGGUGAAAUGCGCAGAUAUCGGGAGGAACACCAAUGGCGAAGGCAGCUUGCUGGGACGGUACUGACGCUGAGACGCGAAAGCGUGGGGAGCAACGGG
rnacentral:rRNA from 1 species